UACGUAGGGUGCGAGCGUUAAUCGGAACUACUGGGCGUAAAGCGUGCGCAGGCGGUUUUGUAAGCCAGGUGUGAAAUCCCCGGGCUCAACCUGGGAAUGGCAUUUGGGACUGCAAGGCUGGAGUGCGGCAGAGGAGACUGGAAUUCCUGGUGUAGCAGUGAAAUGCGUAGAUAUCAAGAGGAAUACCGAUGGCGAAGGCAGGUCUCUGGGCUGACACUGACGCUCAUGCACGAAAGCGUGGGGAGCAAACAGG
rnacentral:rRNA from 1 species